rnacentral:rRNA from 1 species
UACGUAGGGUGCAAGCGUUAAUCGGAAUUACUGGGCGUAAAGGGUAGGUAGGUGGUCUCAUUUGUCUGGGGUGAAAGCCUUGGGCUUAACCCAAGAAGUGCCUCAGAAACGGUGAGACUGGAGUCCUGGAGAGGGUCGUGGAAUUCCCGGUGUAGCGGUGAAAUGCGUAGAGAUCGGGAGGAACACCAGCGGCGAAGGCGGCGACCUGGACAGGUACUGACACUCAACUACGAAAGCGUGGGGAGCAAACAGG